CACAUGCAAGUCGAGGGGCAGCAUUUCUUUUUGCUUGCAAACUGGAGAUGGCGACCGGCGCACGGGUGAGUAACGCGUAUCCAACCUGCCGAUAACUCGGGGAUAGCCUUUCGAAAGAAAGAUUAGUACCCGAUGGUAUAAUCAGACCGCAUGGUUUGAUUAUUAAAGAAUUUCGGUUAUCGAUGGGGAUGCGUUCCAUUAGGCAGUUGGUGAGGUAACGGCUCACCAAACCUUCGAUGGAUAGGGGUUCUGAGAGGAAGGUCCCCCACAUUGGAACUGAGACACGGUCCAAACUCCUACGGGAGGCAGCAGUGAGGAAUAUUGGUCAAUGGACGCGAGUCUGAACCAGCCAAGUAGCGUGAAGGAUGACUGCCCUAUGGGUUGUAAACUUCUUUUAUAUGGGAAUAAAGUUUUCCACGUGUGGAAUUUUGUAUGUACCAUAUGAAUAAGGAUCGGCUAACUCCGUGCCAGCAGCCGCGGUAAUACGGAGGAUCCGAGCGUUAUCCGGAUUUAUUGGGUUUAAAGGGAGCGUAGGUGGACAGUUAAGUCAGUUGUGAAAGUUUGCGGCUCAACCGUAAAAUUGCAGUUGAUACUGGCUGUCUUGAGUACAGUAGAGGUGGGCGGAAUUCGUGGUGUAGCGGUGAAAUGCUUAGAUAUCACGAAGAACUCCGAUUGCGAAGGCAGCUCACUGGACUGCAACUGACACUGAUGCUCGAAAGUGUGGGUAUCAAACAGGAUUAGAUACCCUGGUAGUCCACACAGUAAACGAUGAAUACUCGCUGUUUGCGAUAUACAGUAAGCGGCCAAGCGAAAGCAUUAAGUAUUCCACCUGGGGAGUACGCCGGCAACGGUGAAACCCAAAGGAAUUGACGGGGGCCCGCACAAGCGGAGGAACAUGUGGUUUAAUUCGAUGAUACGCGAGGAACCUUACCCGGGCUUAAAUUGCAUUUGAAUAUAUUGGAAACAGUAUAGCCGUAAGGCAAAUGUGAAGGUGCUGCAUGGUUGUCGUCAGCUCGUGCCGUGAGGUGUCGGCUUAAGUGCCAUAACGAGCGCAACCCUUAUCUUUAGUUACUAACAGGUCAUGCUGAGGACUCUAGAGAGACCGCCGUCGUAAGAUGUGAGGAAGGUGGGGAUGACGUCAAAUCAGCACGGCCCUUACGUCCGGGGCUACACACGUGUUACAAUGGGGGGUACAGAAGGCAGCUACCUGGUGACAGGAUGCUAAUCCCAAAAGCCUCUCUCAGUUCGGAUCGAAGUCUGCAACCCGACUUCGUGAAGCUGGAUUCGCUAGUAAUCGCGCAUCAGCCAUGGCGCGGUGAAUACGUUCCCGGGCCUUGUACACACCGCCCGUCAAGCCAUGAAAGCCGGGGGUACCUGAAGUACGUAACAGCAAGGAGCGUCCUAGGGUAAAACUGGUAAUUGGGGCUAA
rnacentral:rRNA from 1 species